rnacentral:rRNA from 1 species
GGCGGCAUGCUUAACACAUGCAAGUCGAACGGAAACAGGACGCUGUGAUCCCUUCGGGGUGAACUUGUCGCUGUCGAGUGGCGGACGGGUGAGUAACGCAUAGGAAUCUGCCCAGUAGUGGGGGAUAACACGGAGAAAUUCGUGCUAAUACCGCAUACGACCUACGGGUGAAACGGGGGACCUUCGGGCCUCGUGCUAUUGGAUGAGCCUAUGUCAGAUUAGCUUGUUGGUGAGGUAACGGCUCACCAAGGCUACGAUCUGUAGCUGGUCUGAGAGGAUGAUCAGCCACACUGGAACUGAGACACGGUCCAGACUCCUACGGGAGGCAGCAGUGGGGAAUAUUGCACAAUGGGCGCAAGCCUGAUGCAGCAAUGCCGCGUGUGUGAAGAAGGCCUGCGGGUUGUAAAGCACUUUUAUUAGGAAAGAAAACCCAGGGUUAAUACCCCUGGCAUUGACGGUACCUAAUGAAUAAGCACCGGCUAACUCCGUG